AAGGACCAGUACUCAUCCAUCAGCUGUGCCUACAAAAUGGCUGGGAACAUCCUGAGCCUUCUAGAGUUUUGCUUCAUAUUUCCUGUCAGUAGACUACCAGGAACAAGCAUGACAACCAACUCUUCAGGUCAAAAGAUUAUGUAAAUCUUCAGAGAGUAAAGACACUUCUCUCCCUGAUUCUUCCAGCUCUGCGGAAAGCUACAAAAAUAUCUAAAGUUUCAACCAGGGAACACAUGGCAGAUAUAAUCAUUAAAUCUAACAUCUUUAAAGUAUCGAA